GGGCGUGUGGCUCAGUUGGUAGAGCGUUCGCUUAGCAUACUCCAUUGUAUGCGAAAGGUCCUGGGUUCGAUUCCCAGCUCGUCCA